CCUUUUUCGCACCUUCAAUUAUCUAUUCUAUGCUUUUCUCUGUUUUUCUUGUUUCAUCUCAAACUUAUAAUACAACAUUACGAUUAUCUGUUGGUUGGUUUCCUAUUUUAAUUUAAAAAUUUUAUUGAAUAUUUAUUUUCAUAAACAAGUUAUAAAAAAAAAAAAGUUUGUAUGUGGAGACCACUUAGGAACACUUAUUCGUCUUACUAAUCAUGCAUAUAUACAAAACAAGUUGUAGGUGAGAUUGAGAUUGAGAUUGAUAUGCAUAUAAUUGAAGACAAAGGCAUACACAAAAUAAUUUGCUACAUGUUAACUAUAUCUUUGUAAUAUUAACAUUCAAAUUCACUUUACAUGUGCAAAGUGCUAAUAAAUGAAAAAAAAUUCACGUCACUCUACAACAAACAACAUGAAUACAUGUGAUGGCGCUAAGGAUUCUGAAGAGUAAGGAAGCAUCACAUUCGAUGUGGGGACUGCUCCUGUUGGUGUACUUUUUCAAACAAAACUAAAUUUGAGAAAGUAAAUAUGGUAUUCCUUCAAAAUAAUAAACAGAUGAUGAAAUUGAGACCUGAAUGAAUAACUGAACAUCAAUAUAAAAUGGAGGUGGAGAGGAGAAGGGUUGACGAAGCUGUGGAGAAAAUUGUGAGAAGCACGACAACCCUAAUUUCGUCAGCGUUGUUCAAUAAAAGUGGAAAGGUAUUUGUGUUGUAAAAUUGUAAAUUAAAGUAAGAGGACAAGAGUAGAAUUGGAAAUACAUGUAAACUCAUGAAAUUUUUUCAGAAGUCAAGAAGGGUCACUUAACCCUCCUUGGCGCUUGUUUCGUCUACUACUGCCAAAAAUAGAGAUUUAAUUUUCAAAAUUUUCAUUGGGUUUUAGAUUGUGUCAAGAAAACUUGUAUAUGAUAAAAGUAAACAAUAAAACUAUGUGUACUUAUUUU